rnacentral:rRNA from 1 species
AUUGAACGCUGGCGGCAGGCCUAACACAUGCCAGUCGAGCGGAUGAAGGGAGCUUGCUCCUGGAUUCAGCGGCGGACGGGUGAGUAAUGCCUAGGAAUCUGCCUGGCAGUGGGGGCUAACGUCCGGAAACGGGCGCUAAUACCGCAUACGUCCUUAGGGAGAAAGUGGGGGAUCUUCGGACCUCACGCUAUCAGAUGAGCCUAGGUCGGAUUAGCUAGUUGGUGGGGUAAAGGCCUACCAAGGCGACGAUCCGUAACUGGUCUGAGAGGAUGAUCAGUCACACUGGAACUGAGACACGGUCCAGACUCCUACGGGAGGCAGCAGUGGGGAAUAUUGGACAAUGGGCGAAAGCCUGAUCCAGCCAUGCCGCGUGGGUGAAGAAGGUCUUCGGAUUGUAAAGCACUUUUAGUUGGGAAGAAGGGCAGUAAGUUAAUACCUUGCUGUUUUGACGUUACCAACAGAAUAAGCACCGGCUAACUUCGUG